GACGAACGCUGGCGGCGUGCUUAACACAUGCAAGUCGAACGGUAAGGCCCCAGCUUGCUGGGGUACACGAGUGGCGAACGGGUGAGUAACACGUGGGUGACCUGCCCCGCACUUCGGGAUAAGCCUGGGAAACUGGGUCUAAUACCGGAUAGGACCGCACCGUGAGGGUGUGGUGGAAAGUUUUUCGGUGUGGGAUGGGCCCGCGGCCUAUCAGCUUGUUGGUGGGGUAAUGGCCUACCAAGGCGGCGACGGGUAGCCGGCCUGAGAGGGUGGACGGCCACAUUGGGACUGAGACACGGCCCAGACUCCUACGGGAGGCAGCAGUGGGGAAUAUUGCACAAUGGGCGGAAGCCUGAUGCAGCGACGCCGCGUGGGGGAUGACGGCCUUCGGGUUGUAAACUCCUUUCACCAUCGACGAAGGUUUUCUGACGGUAGAUGGAGAAGAAGCACCGGCUAACUACGUA
rnacentral:rRNA from 1 species